AAUAAUUAGCGGGGAAAGAAGACCCUUUUGAGCUUGACUCUAAUCUGGCAGUGUAAGGAGACAUAAGAGGUGUAGAAUAAG
rnacentral:ncRNA from 1 species